GAUGAAGAACGUAGCGAAAUGCGAUACGUAAUGUGAAUUGCAGAAUUCAGUGAAUCAUCGAGUCUUUGAACGCACAUUGCGCCCCCUGGUAUUCCGUGGGGCAUGCCUGUCCGAGCGUCAUUGCUGCCCUCAAGCACGGCUUGUGUGUUGGGCCCCGCCCCCCGGCUCCCGGGGGGCGGGCCCGAAAGGCAGCGGCGGCACCGCGUCCGGUCCUCGAGCGUAUGGGGCUUCGUCACCCGCUCCGUAGGCCCGGCCGGCGCCCGCCGGCGACCCCCCUCAAUCUUUUCAGGUUGACCUCGGAUCAGGUAGGGAUACCCGCUGAACUUAAGCAUAUCAAUAAGCGGAGGA
rnacentral:misc_RNA from 1 species